rnacentral:lncRNA from 1 species
GUCAUCUGAUUGCUCAAGCGUCACCUGAAGCUCUGGCCGCCGCGGGGCAAGGAGGCAUGGCAGGCGCAGGCCCCACCGGGCAGGCCAUCGUAGGGGACAGGGGGCUCGCCCUCUCGGCGCCCAAAAGCACGGCCAUCGCCGGUCACCCCGACAUUGAGGUCGUCAUCACCGGAGACAAAAAACCCGGCUCCAAACCCAAAAAGCCCGUCGCCAAAUAUUCAAAGAGCAAAGGCUACCACAUCGACUACUCCUCUUGAGGUCUCCAUUCCACCACCGACUAAAUUCUGCACACGGGAAGGAGGACCUUUGGAUUAUCCUGGUUUCCUUCCCACUGUUUUACCAUGACUGUUCCUUACCGUGAUCUAAUCGACGGAUUUCCUUGGCAGAAUAUUGGCAUCUGUUCUGACGUUCUAAGGAAAAACGCCGUAUGAACCGUCAGGCGUUGCCAGACUUCCAUUUAAAAAACACGAAUUUCCUGGUAAACUCAUGAACAUUUUACUUCCAAUUUUUCAGAUAAUGAUGCUUGCAAUUUAACAUGAAGUUUCUGAAAAUUUCAAGGAAAGAUAUUCAUAACCUUCCUCAAAAAUAAACAUUUUAUCGAAGGAAAUUUGGCAACUCUCGAAUGUUCAUACGGCGUUCUUCCUUAGCACGGCAGCGUUGGUCAUCAUUACGCGAAGAAUUACAGUAUGUAUAUACUAAGGCGAAGUUUGUAAAAUGUAUGUCUUAGUUGAGUUAAUAGCUAUCACGUGAGAGUUUCGUCACUUUCCGUUAAAACUUUGAAGACUUAAAAAUUAAUUUUCUAGCGUAAAACUUACCAACAUUUUCCCUGUCAUUUAUUAUUCAUUUAUGGAUAGUUUCCUAUCUAUUCCGAAUAAUUUAAGCCAACCAGCUUUAAUGUUUGCUGAUCCUAAAGUGUUGAUCAGCCACGUACAGGCUGAGAACAACCUAUCACCCCAGCCCCAUGCGGUCGGCAACAAAUUCUCCCAGCCCCGUCCUGCAUCCGGCGACGUCCUGCCCAGCGUGCCCAUCAUCCUUCCUCCGGCCCAAGACCCGGUCAACGUCUUCCCCGUCGAGUACCCGGGCGUCCAGCCGGUCGUCGCCCACUUGGACAAGAACGCCGGGGCCCCCGUGAGUGGUGUCGUCGCCGGCUACCCGCUCGUCGUCCACAUCCCCGAGACGAACCAGCCGAUCGCCAUCUACCGCGGCCAGUUCCCGGCCUUCAUCGAACGCAUCGUCCAGCGCAUCCAGAACCGCUACUCCGUCUACAACCCGCCCGAGUACUUCGAGAACCGCCCGCUCCCCGACGCCGAGCUCCAGCCCCCGAACCACCCCUCUGCGUCCAGGCGGCCGACACCGAGGGGCGCAACGAGACGCAAGAGGGCUACGCCUACGCCCCGCCCUGUCCCACCUCAACCACACCCACGACAACCACCCCUGAACCCCCGACCACCGGCUACGUCUACGAGGAUCCCAAACUCCCCGAAGACAACACCAAUAUAA